UUAGAUUUAUAGCUUCAUGUUUACGGCAUGUUUACCCUCUCACUUCUCCUUUUUCACAUUUGAUGUUUGUCUCCAUUUCUCGCUCCCUCCUUCUCUUCCGCCACAUCUGUUUUCACCUCCUCUGUCAGUCUUUGCUUAUCCGUCUUUAAGAGUGCUUCACGGUUUGCUUUCUGAUGCUUCAAGAUGAACACGACGACCCAAAACAUUACUACAGGUGUGUUCCACAGCAAACCUGAUCUCAAACCAGUCAAAACCAAUUCAAAUAACACAGCAUCUCGGCCGGAUUGGUUACUCUACUCUGUUCCUGUAUCAGCUUUUGUGAUUGGGAUUGUCCUGUUCACAACCAUCUGCAAAACACAGCGGCAGAGAAAUGGCAAUCGUCAAC